rnacentral:sRNA from 1 species
GCUGAAGAGUCUAUGGAGAAGGAAGAUGGU